ensembl:lncRNA
AUGUGUGUGUUUUUAUCCAAGGCAUUUCAGAACUUUGUGGGGACUUAUUAUGACCAACGACGUCCAGUUAUUCCACUUCUCAGUGCAAUGAGACGCUGCGCUAAACUAAGUGAGGAGCAGAUGGCACUGAGAAAAGCAUGGGACAGCAUGGAGGAGAGGCUGCAAGAGUAUAGAACAGAGCUUGAUGUUGGUUUGCCAGCCCCUCUGAACACACUGGGCCGGUGGCUCCAGCAUAUGGAGGCUGUGCUAUCUGAAGACAGCGGGAGCGCUGAAGAUCAUGCACUUGCUUCCAGAGACGCCAGACACAAGCAUGAACAGCUGAAGGUCAGUGUGCAGACAGGAAUUAUCAUGCUUCACUGUGUAUUUCUGAAUUAUGUGCAUAUCUUUGUUUGCUCUUCAUGUUUCCUUAGGUCUUGGUUGAGGACUUAAGCCAGCACUUGAACACCCUUCAUCACUACCAGAUCACAGAUGAUGAAGUGCCAGUCGAGAAGCUGGAGGAGAUCAAGAGACGGUUGGAAAACAAAAUCUAUUCGGUGCUUCCUGCUGAAAAGACCAGCAUCUGUAGUGUUUAGAACACCAGAUGCUGGUAUGUCCAUUAGGCAUCUGAAGUAUUGACAAGACAGACCAGUUUGCUGUUCUAAGAUGGUCUUUUCAGCAGGGCCAUCCUUCAGUUUCUCUUAAUGUUGUCGUCUUCAAGAUAUCCAGGCUCCUUGCUAAUGUUUCUCAUUUUCCUUGAUAGUUUCACCAGUGCCAGAGUGACAGCCAAGUACCACGGCAUCAAGCUACAAUACAGAGAGCAGAUGCACCAUGUUUAUGACCUGCUGGGACAUCUGAAGUCUAAGCUGAGCUUGUGGAGAGGGCCUUACGGCUCUCAGGAGUCUGUUCAGUCUCUGCUACAAGACUGGCAUGUAUGUGGCCCUAUCGAUCAGUCAUUACCAAUUUGCCAUUGCCAUUUUUUUAGAAGCUCAGUUUUGAUUUGAGUAAAAUAAAGUCUGUGGUAAACAUUACUUUCA